rnacentral:lncRNA from 1 species
AGCAAUUAAAUUAAUGUUCCACAUAAUAAUGAUAAUUAUGUGUAUCAAGUGGGAAAAAAAUAGGAGAAUAUGCUCACAAGAGGAAGAAAUCAUAUAUUAGAUAAAAUUGUUGGAUUACAAUAAUGGAUAUUACAGGAGGAACACCAUCCAAAUGUGAUGCAUAAUCUAAUAUUUUCUUGACAACAAAAUCUAAACUAAAAUCAUCCAUCAACAUCCCUACAACUUAACUAAAACUAAUUGCGGAACAUCGUCCAAUAGGAACAUCCAACAACUUAACUAAAAUUGAAAGCAUCCAUCAUCAUGAACCAGAGUAUCAUCAUCAUCGUUGCAGUAUACUUGUUACGCACCCAUAUAAUCAUCCAUAUAUCAUUUCAAUCUACAAAGAAAAUAACAAAAUGAACUGUUAACACAUAAUGCAUUGACAUGAUGCAAGUAGUGAUAAAGGCAGGAUAUUAGACACGUACAAAGGUUGAAGGCCAUGCAAUAUUUUUUUCUGCAUUACCAAUAAUAUUGCAGUUUUUGCGACUCUGUACCAAAUCUUCAGUUUUCGUAAGUGUUGUAUUACACUGCCCAAAAUGUACUUUAAUUUCAGCACCAUCAAGUUUAAAUUUAGGAUCAUAACUUAGAACUCUAGCAAACUACGUCCCUGUUAUGAUUCUGAAAAUAUACCAGCAUGAGUGUUCAUGAUCAUUGAUGACUAAUCCAGACGCCACAAUAUAUGACAUAGCCUGCAGAACAACAUGGCUCAAUAACAUUAUAUGGACAGUAGCCUAAGCUGUUGUGCGUUCAAAGGCAAUGUGUGACAGUACUACUUCUCUUCUCUUCUCCAUUUAAUUAGCAAACUGAACCAAAAUAGUUUGUCAUCGGAAACUGAACCAAACCAUUUAGCUCUAGUUGGUUUCAGUCAUCCAACAGGAAAUAGACAAACCUACAUGUGCUCACCAUGCUUUGGAAUG